GGCCUAUUAGCUCAGUUGGUUAGAGCGUCGUGCUAAUAACGCGAAGGUCACAGGUUCAAAACCUGUAUAGGCCA
rfam:Brassica oleracea var. oleracea cultivar TO1000 chromosome C3, whole genome shotgun sequence